GGGGCGGCGGCUACCAUGCAAGUCGAGCGGUAGCACAGAGAGCUUGCUCUCGGGUGACGAGCGGCGGACGGGUGAGUAAUGUCUGGGAAACUGCCUGAUGGAGGGGGAUAACUACUGGAAACGGUAGCUAAUACCGCAUAAUGUCGCAAGACCAAAGUGGGGGACCUUCGGGCCUCAUGCCAUCAGAUGUGCCCAGAUGGGAUUAGCUAGUAGGUGGGGUAACGGCUCACCUAGGCGACGAUCCCUAGCUGGUCUGAGAGGAUGACCAGCCACACUGGAACUGAGACACGGUCCAGACUCCUACGGGAGGCAGCAGUGGGGAAUAUUGCACAAUGGGCGCAAGCCUGAUGCAGCCAUGCCGCGUGUGUGAAGAAGGCCUUCGGGUUGUAAAGCACUUUCAGCGGGGAGGAAGGCGUUAAGGUUAAUAACCUUGGCGAUUGACGUUACCCGCAGAAGAAGCACCGGCUAACUCCGUGCCAGCAGCCGCGGUAAUACGGAGGGUGCAAGCGUUAAUCGGAAUUACUGGGCGUAAAGCGCACGCAGGCGGUCUGUCAAGUCGGAUGUGAAAUCCCCGGGCUCAACCUGGGAACUGCAUUCGAAACUGGCAGGCUAGAGUCUUGUAGAGGGGGGUAGAAUUCCAGGUGUAGCGGUGAAAUGCGUAGAGAUCUGGAGGAAUACCGGUGGCGAAGGCGGCCCCCUGGACAAAGACUGACGCUCAGGUGCGAAAGCGUGGGGAGCAAACAGGAUUAGAUACCCUGGUAGUCCACGCCGUAAACGAUGUCGAUUUGGAGGUUGUGCCCUUGAGGCGUGGCUUCCGGAGCUAACGCGUUAAAUCGACCGCCUGGGGAGUACGGCCGCAAGGUUAAAACUCAAAUGAAUUGACGGGGGCCCGCACAAGCGGUGGAGCAUGUGGUUUAAUUCGAUGCAACGCGAAGAACCUUACCUGGUCUUGACUCCACAGAACUUUCCAGAAAUGGAUUGGUGCCUUCGGGAACUGUGAAAAAGUGCUGCUGGCUGUCCCACC
rnacentral:rRNA from 1 species